GUUGCUUCUUAGAAAGGCGAAUGACUACUUUACUAGUUGGUCAUUCAUAUCGGGAAGCAUACAUGAAUUAAUUUGCCAGUUUUAAACAGCAUGAUGUUCAAUGUUGCAUUGUGUUACCUGUCUGCUGGUAAAUUU